UAUCAUAUUGUCAUGCAAAAUUUCUUAGUCUACCCUAAACCCAAUCUCUUGGCGAAAAGAGCCUAUUACCAAUUAUUGGCUUGCUAUCUCUAGCCUCCCCUAGUAACCAAUAAUGCAUGAUAAAUAGAAGCAAAAUACAAUUGAUCAUCCUACCCCUAUCUCUAGGUGGUAUUAGCAUAAUCAAGGAAUUCCCCCCAGUUCAUGACAUUACCGUACAUCUCCGUAUCAAUAAAGACAAACAACAUUUACCGAAUGAG
rnacentral:lncRNA from 1 species